AACAGGGAUUGCCCUAGUAACGGCGAGCGAAGCGGCAACAGCUCAAAUUUGAAAUCUGGCUACUUUGUAGUCCGAGUUGUAAUUUGUAGAGGAUGCUUUUGGUGAGGUGCCUUCCGAGUUCCCUGGAACGGGACGCCAGAGAGGGUGAGAGCCCCGUACGGUUGGAUACCAAACCUUUGUAUAGCUCCUUCAACGAGUCGAGUAGUUUGGGAAUGCUGCUCUAAAUGGGAGGUAUAUCUCUUCUAAAGCUAAAUAUAGGCUAGAGACCGAUAGCGCACAAGUAGAGUGAUCGAAAGAUGAAAAGCACUUUGAAAAGAGAGUUAAACAGCACGUGAAAUUGUUGAAAGGGAAGCGCCUAUGACCAGACUUGUUUCUUUCAGUUUUGUUAGUUCUCGGACUGAUUUACUCUGUUAGUACAGGCCAGCAUCAGUUUGUUGUCGGGGAGAAAGGCUUAGGGAAUGUGGCUCCUUCGGGAGUGUUAUAGCCCUUUGCAUAAUACCCUUCGGCAGACUGAGGACCGCGCUUCGGCAAGGAUGCUGGCGUAAUGGUCAUCAGCGACCCGUCUUGAAACACGGACCAAGGAGUCAACCUUAUGUGCGAGUGUUUGGGUGUAAAACCCCAGCGCGUAAUGAACGUGAACGUAGGUGAGAGCUUCGGCGCAUCAUCGACCGAUUCUGAUGUUCUCGGAUGGAUUUGAGUAAGAGCACACAGGGUUGGACCCGAAAGAAGGUGAACUAUGCUUGUAUAGGGUGAAGCCAGAGGAAACUCUGGUGGAGGCUCGCAGCGGUUCUGACGUGCAAAUCGAUCGUCAAAUAUGAGCAUGGGGG
rnacentral:rRNA from 1 species